rnacentral:lncRNA from 1 species
GGCAAGGUUCCGCCGCAUCGACAACAGAAAGAAGGAAUCCAGCUAUGACCAGAGCCAAAAGACAGCCGUGCCACCGACCUCCAUCCAGCUCGGUCCAAGGUUCUCCAGGAACAAGCGGCGUGAAUAGGAGGCAAGGCUCCGUCGCAUCGAAAGCAGACAAAAGGUUCCCUGACGAGGUCAAUGUCUCCCAACCAGACACAGAGGGCCAGCUUACGGCCACGAGGUCCUUGCAGUGUGGCGUGUGCGAGAAAGUUUUCAAACGCAAGUCGCAGUUGCGAACACACUUGUAUGUUCACGUACGCGAAAAACGGCACGCCUGUGGCGUGUGCGG